GACAGAGGCCUCAAGCGUUAGGCGGAAUCACUGGGCUUAAAGCGUGUGUAGGCGGAUCGUUAAGUGCCUUGUGAAAUCCCACGGCUUAACUGUGGAACGGCUGGGCAUACUGGCGGUCUUGAGCCAUCUAGGGGCGACUGGAACAAACGGUGGAGCGGUGAAAUGCGUAGAUAUCGUAAGGAAGACCAGUGGCGAAGGCGGGUCUCUGGACAGUUCCUGACGCUGAGGCACGAAGGUCAGGGGAGCAAACGGG
rnacentral:rRNA from 1 species